ACGAACGCUGGCGGCGUGCUUAACACAUGCAAGUCGAACGGAAAGGCCCUGCUUUUGUGGGGUGCUCGAGUGGCGAACGGGUGAGUAACACGUGAGUAACCUGCCCUUGACUUUGGGAUAACUUCAGGAAACUGGGGCUAAUACCGGAUAGGAGCUCCUUCUGCAUGGUGGGGGUUGGAAAGUUUCGGCGGUUGGGGAUGGACUCGCGGCUUAUCAGCUUGUUGGUGGGGUAGUGGCUUACCAAGGCUUUGACGGGUAGCCGGCCUGAGAGGGUGACCGGCCACAUUGGGACUGCGAUACGGCCCAGACUCCUACGGGAGGCAGCAGUGGGGAAUAUUGCACAAUGGGCGGAAGCCUGAUGCAGCAACGCCGCGUGCGGGAUGACGGCCUUCGGGUUGUAAACCGCUUUCGCCUGUGACGAAGCGUGAGUGACGGUAAUGGGUAAAGAAGCACCGGCUAACUACGUG
rnacentral:rRNA from 1 species